AAAAUACAGGACAGAGGUGUUAAACCUGUUGUUUAAACCUGUUUUGUUUGUUUGUUUUUUGUAUUGCUUUAUUUUACAUGGAGUUUGUAGAAAGAUUUCAGAGGUCAUUGAGCCUCCUAAGGGAAAUAGAGUUUGGGGUGGGUAAGGGCAUCUUUUUUUUUAAAUAUUUAUUUAUUUAUUUUAGUUCUUGGCGGACACAACAUCUUUGUUUGUAUGUGGUGGUGAGGAUCGAACCCAGACACAUGCCAGGCCAGCGCACUACUUCUUGAGCCACAUCCCCAGCCCUAAGGGCAUCUUUUAAUGGGGAAACAUCAUUUAUAGAUGUAUCGAAUUUCCAAAUGGAACUGUGGAUUCUCAAAUGAUUAAAGACCAAUGUUUUAGAGGUUGUAGGUUUCAAGCUUUAAAAAUCAGGAAAAGAUUGGAUCAGAUGACCUUUGAGGGAAAGCAGAUGACUGUGUUAGGAUGUUUCACAUUCUUGUGAUAGAAACCAGCUCGAACAAAUUGAUAUUAAGAAGAAAUCUACUGGUUUAUAUAAUUAAAACACACACACAAUUUGAAUUUUUCUUCUUUCUCUUUUGUUUUCUUCUAUAUUGUCUUUUUUCUCAGGAUUGCUCUCUCUCUUAUGUUGGAAUAAGAGAUCAGUCUGGAGCUUACAUGUGCUAAGUUCUUAGAAGUUUUAAGCUUCCAGAGGAGGAGAAGGUGGUGUCUUAAGUUUGCUUUCUAUUGCUGUAACAUAAUAUCUGAGAUGGGAUAAUUCGUAAAGAAAAGAAGUUAUUUUGGCUCACAGUUCUAGUGGCAUUUGGAAAUCCAAGAUGGGCAGUUGGUGAGGGCUUUGUUUUGCUUCAAUUCAUGUCCCAAAGUGGAAGGGCAAGUGGGCAUGUGUGGAAGAGACAAUAUGAGGGACUGCCUCACUUGCUUUACAUCUUGCUCUUGGAUUGACUAAUCCAAUUCCUCAAGAGCAGUGUCCUUAUAUAACAAAGGUAUUUUAUCCAACUUAACAAUCUAAUUCCCUCUUAAAGAUCCUACCACCUUCUAACACUGCUACACUGAGAAUCAGAUUUCAAAAUGAAUUUUGAUAGGGACAAAUUAUAUCUGAGCCAUAACAGGUAGUAUUUUUUUCUAAUAACUGGUAGAUGUCCCAGAAAGAACCUUAACCAGUCUAGAUCAUUUCCCCUUAGGGAGAUGGAGUCAGUACCAAUCAGAUUACAGGACUAAUAGAAUUAAUGUGAAACUGGGUAGAGGAAUUUCCCCAAAGAAAGGCAAUGUGUGUGGGAAAAAAAAAUUAUUUUUUUUUCUCUAUAGUGAUUAAAAAGCUUGAGGACAAAUAACAUAGGUAAUGGACUGAAAAUUGAACGUGAAAAUUAGUGUAUAUUUAGAGAAGCCAAAUUUGUUUUGUGUAUGACUUAUAAUAUUUUUCUAUAUGGAUUUCAGAUUACUCAAAGUUUUAUUCAGUUAUUGGUUCCUCAUUUAACAAAUAUUGGAGAAUAUGCUAUGUUCUGUCAUCAUUUUUUGUACCAGGAUUGUAGCAGUGAGUAAAACAAAUGUCCUUGCUUUCAUGGAGCCUACAUUCUAUUGAGGACAGGCACAUAAUAAAUAAGAUAAAUUACUGAAAUAUAUAACAUGCUAGAUGGAGAGAAGCGCUCUGGAGGAAAUAAGCAGAGAGAGGAGAUAGGGAAUGAUUAUUACAGUCUUAAGUAGGAUGGCCAAAGAAGAUCUUGCUAAGGUCUUGUUUGUUUGUUUGUUUGUUUUUAAAGAAAGUGUCAUUUGAGUUAGGACAUAAAGGAGGGUGAGGAGGGAGCAAGCCAUUUGGAUAUCUGGAAGACGAAAUUUCCAAGCAGCAGGAAGCAAAUGCAAAGGCUCAGAGUGUUGAAAAAACUGCUAGAACCUUGAAUCAGAGAAUGAGAAGAAGGGAUAAAUUAGGAGGAGGAAUAAAUAUGGGAUGACAUCAAUGAAGUAAGGGGAUGGCAGGAGCAAAUUGUCUAGGUCCUGGGAGGCCAUGGUAAGGGUUAUGGGGAAGAAUACAAAAAACAUCAGAGAGUCUUGAGCAGGAGAAAAUUAAUCUUAGUUUAUUUUUUUAAUAAAUUUUUGUUGAUUUUUACUUGUAGUUGAACACAAUAAACCUUUAUUUUAUGUAUUUUUAUGUGGUGCUGUGCCUCUCAUGUGCUAGGUAAGUGCUUUACCAUUGAGUUAUAUAACCCCAGCCCUAAUCUGAAUUAGUUUUUAAAGGAUCACCCUAAUACUGAGUUGAGAAUGUAUUGUAGAGGCCCAAGUGGAAGUGAGGAGACCAACAAAGAGGCUAUUGUAUAACAAUAAUCCAAGCAAUAGAUAUUGGUGGCAUAGACAAGGGUGGGGGUGGAGAUGAUAAAAAAUGGUUGGAGGUAUCCUUAUUGGGUCCCCUCUUGGCCUACUGGACUUGGUCUCUUCUCAUUUGAAUAAAUUUUACUCUUUUACAUUCACUCUUGCUCAUCUGUAGAUUUUAUCCUUCAGAUUCAUGAAACAAGAGCCUGGAAAGGGGGCACUGGUGGGCAGCUGGGCUCUGCUGCAAUACUGUAGUGCAAAGACUGAAAAUCCAGUUUCAUCUUUGGGGGCUCAUCCUGGAUCCUUUGGAAAGUAUCAUUCCGGCCCUUUGUAUAUCUUUUUUUUUUUAACUUUUUUUUUUUGCUUUAUUUUUAGUAGCUCAUUUUUCUUCAAUAUUGUAUUUUAUUCCAUAUAAAUUACUUUCAGACUGUAUAAUCAAUUAGCUGAAGUGAAACAACAAAAGGUAGAGAAAGCAAAACAAGAAGCUUAUGCCCAGAACAGAGAAAGGGCAAAAGAAUUUCAUAAGAAAACACUAGAGAAACUUCGAGCCAAAAAUACAGGCUGACUCUUCUUUAGAAUGGUGUUUUUCUUUUAAAAGUGUGUAAUUUUAAGUCAAUAAAUUUUUAUUUAA